rnacentral:rRNA from 1 species
GAUGAACGCUGGCGGCGUGCCUAAUACAUGCCAGUCGAGCGAACAGAUGAGGAGCUUGCUCCUCUGACGUUAGAGGCGGAAGGGAGAGUAACACGUGGAUCACCUACAUAUAAGCAUGGGAUAACUUCGGGAAACCGGAGCUAAUACCGGAUAAUAUAUUGAACCGCAUGGUUCAAUAGUGAAAGACGGUUUUGCUUUCACUUAUAGAUAGAUCCGCGCCGCAUUAGCUAGUUGGUAAGGUAACGGCUUACCAAGGCAACGAUGAGUAGCCGACCUGAGAGGGUGAUCGGCCACACUGGAACUGAGACACGGGCCAGACUCGUACGGGAGGCAGCAGUAGGGAAUCUCCGGCAAUGGGCGAAAGCUUGACGGAGCAACGCCGCGUGAGUGAUGAAGGUCUUCGGAUCGGAAAACACUAUUAUUAGGGAAGAACAAAUGUGUAAGUAACUAUGCACGUCCUGACGGUACCUAAUCAGAAAGCCACGGCUAACUACGUG